rnacentral:rRNA from 1 species
GAUUUCGCCCUUAGAGUUUGAUCCUGGCUCAGGACUAACGCUGGCGGCGUGCCUAAUACAUGCAAGUCGAACGGUCGUGCGUUUGUAGCAAUAUGGACGUACGAUAGUGGCGAACGGGUGAGUAACACGUGGAAAACCUACCCUCGAGCGGGGGAUAACUCCGGGAAACUGGGGCUAAUACCGCAUGACAUCCCAACCUGGCAUCGGGAGGGGAUCAAAGCCGAAAGGCACUUGAGGAUGGUUCCGCGGCCUAUCAGCUAGUUGGCGGGGUAACGGCCCACCAAGGCGACGACGGGUAGCCGGCCUGAGAGGGCGAUCGGCCACAAGGGGACUGAGACACGGCCCCUACUCCUACGGGAGGCAGCAGUAGGGAAUUUUGCUCAAUGGGGGAAACCCUGAAGCAGCGACGCCGCGUGGGCGACGAAAUCCUUCGGGAUGUAAAGCCCUUUUAACCGGGACGAAAUACAUGACGGUACCGGUGGAAUAAGCCUCGGCUAACUCCGUGCCAGCAGCCGCGGUAAGACGGGGGAGGCAAGCGUUGUCCGGAAUCACUGGGUGUAAAGGGCGUGUAGGCGGGCCGGCUAGUCGGUUGUUAAAUCUCUCCGCUCAACGGAGAAGCUGCGGCCGAUACUUCCGGUCUUGAGUGCGGCAGGGGAGGAUGGAAUUCCUGGUGUAGCGAUGAAAUGCGUAGAUAUCAGGAGGAACACCGGUGGCGAAGGCGGUCCUCUGGGCCUGCACUGACGCUGAGUGCGCGAAAGCUGGGGUAGCAAACAGAAUUAGAUACUCUGGUAGUCCCAGCCCUAAACGAUG